UUACUCGGAGCAGCGAGAUCCCGCGAGAGCAGGGACUUGACCAUUUUUCUUAAGGCGGGAGCAGAGCGCUGGGGUUAACUGUUGUUCGAGAAAGGCGGCAGCAGGUUGGUUUUUGUGGUGUCGAGGGAAGAAAGGAAUAGUUCUUCAGGUGCAGUUACUGAGAGAACAGAGUGAAGACACCUGGAAGGAAGUUGUCAUCACUCAGUGUGUCUUCUGGAAGUCUGCUGGUCUGAGGCCCGACGGCCUCACCUCUGGACCCAGGACUGCCUCCCUCCCUGGAUCCCCCCACUGCACCUAUGAGGAAACUGAGGUCCUGAGAGAUUAAGUCAAGUCCCACAUGUAUCAUACUUAUAAAUUGCAAAGAUGAAAUUAAAAGCUGUUUCUCACUUAAAGCCUUUUGUGUUUUCACUAUAUUGUGGAGAAAUCUCCAACUUCCUGUCUCUGAAUAUCUCUGUAUUGAUACCUUCAUGAUAAAAAUAAAAAAGUAGAGUUAAGAAUUGUCAAAAUAA